GUGACGUCAUAAGGCUGCGUCGCGCUCCAGCAUAAGUUGUGAUUCGGUUGAAGAAAGAAAAACUCCUGGUGAAGCGACUGAGAUCCACGUGACACUAUUAUAAAGAUGGAUUUUAUUAUUAAAGAGGAGAUUCAAGACAUGAAAAUUGAAGAAACAAUCAGUGUGAAACAAGAAGAAACUGAGGAGCAAACAGACCUGAUGGCACUGAAAGAGGAGAGUGAAGUAUGGAAUGAAAUAGAAGAGAAAGAUCAACAUAACAAUCAUCAUGAUGUCUUUGCUGGAGAAAAAUUGUGUAGUUGCUCACAGCCUGAAAACAAUUCCUCACAAAACAUGGCUCAAAAGACAGGGACUAGAAGUCAUUUCAGCUGCAAACAGUGUGGAAACAGGUUCAAACUAAAAGGAAACUUUAACAGGCACAUGAAAAUUCACACUGAGAAGCCUUACACAUGCCCUCAGUGUGGAAAGAGUUUCAAUCAGAAAGGACACUUUAUAGACCACUUGAGAAUUCACUCUGGAGAGAAACCCUAUACAUGCCUUCAGUGUGGAAAGAGUUUUGAUCAACAUGUAAACCUUAAAGUCCACAUGAAAGUUCACACUGGAGAGAAGCCUUACACCUGCCAACAGUGUGGGAAAAGAUUCACCCAAAAAGGAAGUCUUAAUUACCACAUGAGAAUUCACACUGGACAGAAGCCUUACACCUGCCAACAGUGUGGAAAGAGCUUCAAUCAGAAAGGACACUUUAAAGACCACAUAAGAAUUCACACUGGAGAGAAGCCUUUCACCUGCCAACAAUGUGGAAAAAGUUUCAACCAAAUAGGAAUCCUUAACAGGCACAUGAGAAUUCACAAUAGAGCGAAGCCUUACACCUGCCCUCAGUGUGGAAAGAGUUUCACUGAACAUGGAAGCCUUCUAGUCCACAUGACAAUUCACACUGGAGAGAAGCCUUACACCUGCCAACAGUGUGGACUAAGUUUCACUAUUAAAGGAAGCCUUAACAGGCACAUGAGAAUUCACAAUAGAUCAAACCCUUACACAUGCCGUCAGUGUGGAAAGAGUUUCCCUGAACAUGGAAGUCUUGUAGUCCACAUGAGAAUUCACACCGGAGAGAAGCCUUACACCUGCCAACAGUGUGGAAAAAGUUUCACUCUUAAAGGAAACCUUAACAGGCACAUGAGAAAUCACAAUAGAGAGAAGCCUUACAUAUGCCUUCAGUGUGGAAAGAGUUUCACUGAACAUGGAAAACUUGAAGUCCACAUGGGAGUUCACACUGGAGAGAAGCCUUAUACAUACUCUCUGCAUGGAAAGACUAUUAUUCAAGAAAGGAAUCAUAAAGUCCACAUGAAAGUUCACACUGAAGAGAAACCCUACACCUGCCAACAGUGUGGAAAAAGUUUCACCCAAAAAGGAAACCUUGAGAGGCACAUGAAAAUUCACACUGGAGAAAAGCCUUACAUGUGCCUUCAGUGUGGAAAGAGUUUCAUUCAGAAAGGACAAUUUAAAGUCCACUUGAGGAUUCACUCUGGAGAGAAACCCUAUACAUGCUCUCAGUGUGGAAAGGGUUUCAACCAGAAAGGACACUAUGAAGUCCACAUAAGAAUUCACACUGGAGAGAAGCCUUACACCUGCCAACAGUGUGGAAAAAGUUUCAACCAAAAAGGAAUCCUUAACAGGCACAGGAGAAUUCACAAUAGAGAGAUACCUUACACGUGCCCUCAGUGUGGAAAGAGUUUCACUAAAUAUGGAAACCUUGUAGUCCACAUGAGAGUUCACACAGGAGAGAAGCCAUUUAUAUGUGGUCAAGGUACAAAGAAUUUCAGAUAUAAAGAAACACUUGAGUACUGCACAAGGAUUCAUUUGUAAGAGAACAGUUUUAAAUGUCUUCAGUGUGGAAUGAGUUACACAGACAGGAAACAACUUGGGAAUCAUGUAAUAACUCACAGCAGAGAAAAGCCUUUCAUGGGCCAUCACAGUGGAAAGACUUGCAGAAAUAAAGCAAACCUUGAGGUUCACAUAAGCAUCCCCGAUACACUACUAAAUCUCCCACUUAGCAUCAAUCUUGCACAAAAAAACAUUAUUUAACACUUAAUUUUAGCAUUUACUCUCCGUCAAGUGUCAUGGCAAAACAUGCUGGGAAAUAGAAAUCCCAGCCCAGUUUCAGUUAAAUUUAAGUUUGUCUAAACUGACGCUACCCUGCUGCUAUUUUUACAGCAACACAACUCGGAAUAUAAAAUAUGAUACCACAUUGUGCAGCUUUUGGUUGUAAUUUUCAGUCUAGCGGCAACAAGAAGCAAUACAAGUCUUCACUGUUUUACUAGCGAUAAGAAGAGAAAAUAUGGGAAGUUGUGAAGAAUGUGGACGAAUAAAACUUCCUAAAGAUCCACGUCUUUGUUCUCUUCACUUUAGCACUGAUGCCUUUGAGGCUUUUAGUAGACCACAGCUCCUGAAAGAGCCUAGAGUUACCAAUGGAUAUAAACGUAGACUUUAACCAAAUGCUGCACCUGUCAUGGAGACUGACGAAGGCAGCCCACAACACAUCUCGAUUGAGACAGACUGCCUCAAAGUUCAUGUGUGCUGUGAUGCACGGGAUAUCUGUGAUGGCAUAAAACAAUAGCAUCUUUUCAGCAUGUCUAACCAUGUGUAAUCAACUUCUUUGGGCAUCACAACCUAAGAUGAUCAGAAACAAGAAUCUAAAGGGAAGUUGUCAUAAUACACUGGCCCAUCUCAAACUGGAGCAACUUCACUUCUACUUCACUCUGCGUAUAUGCAAAGGUUUAAUCACAGAAAUGAGUCUAGGAAAAAGAAAAGAAAAUGUAUGAAGACAAAAAAGUACAAAGAAGAAUCCCAUUUGCAUGGUUGUUUACUAAUUUAUUUCCAACGCAGAAAAAAAGCAUACACAUUCUCCUGGAGAUCAAGGACUACUUCAAGUGCUCCUGCUCACUAUCAAGGUCUAUACAGCAACCAGAGAUUCUUUGAUCCACCUGCGAUGCCAUUAACUACAACAAUGGUCCAGCCUGGACACAAGGCAUGUAAAGCCACGAUGAGGCCUGUGGGUCAACACCAUGCAAAGCAGAUG